CUGAUGCCCUAUUUCGAAGGAGCUCACGAGGGAUCCCGUUAUUGUCGCCACCGGUCAGAGGUACACUGAAGCACCUAGGACGAAGCACCACGAACAAAGUUCCAAGGACAAAGCAGACGCCACCACUGAAGCCACUCCUUUUCUCCCCGACUCCGAUCUCUCGCUCUUUCAUAAGG